rnacentral:rRNA from 1 species
GACGAACGCUGGCGGCGUGCCUAAUACAUGCAAGUCGAACGAAGCUGUUUUAACUGGUGCUUGCACCGACUUAAACAACUGAGUGGCGAACGGGUGAGUAACACGUGGGUAACCUGCCCCAAAGCGGGGGAUAACAUUUGGAAACAGAUGCUAAUACCGCAUAACCACAGAAACCACAUGGUGUCUGUGUCAAAGAUGGUUUCGGCUAUCACUAUGGGAUGGACCCGGGGCGUAUUAGCUAGUUGGUAAGGUAAUGGCUUACCAAGGCAAUGGUACGUAGCCGAACUGAGAGGUUGAUCGGCCACAUUGGGACUGAGACACGGCCCAAACUCCUACGGGAGGCAGCAGUAGGGAACCCUCCACAAUGGACGAAAGUCUGAUGGAGCAACGCCGCGUGAGUGAAGAAGGUUUUCGGAUCGUAAAACUCUGUUGUCAGAGAAGAACGUGUGCGAGAGUAACUGCUCGUGCAGUGACGGUAUCUGGCCAGAAAGCCACGGCUAACUACGUGCCAGCCGCCGCCGUAA